rnacentral:rRNA from 1 species
CCUGUCCAACGUUAAUCGGGGCAGGGUGAGUCGACCCCUAAGGCGAGGCCGAAAGGCGUAGUCGAUGGGAAACAGGUUAAUAUUCCUGUACUUGGUGUUACUGCGAAGGGGGGACGGAGAAGGCUAUGUUGGCCGGGCGACGGUUGUCCCGGUUUAAGCGUGUAGGCUGGUUUUCCAGGCAAAUCCGGAAAACUAAGGCUGAGGCGUGAUGACGAGGCACUACGGUGCUGAAGCAACAAAUGCCCUGCUUCCAGGAAAAGCCUCUAAGCAUCAGGUAACAUCAAAUCGUACCCCAAACCGACACAGGUGGUCAGGUAGAGAAUACCAAGGCGCUUGAGAGAACUCGGGUGAAGGAACUAGGCAAAAUGGUGCCGUAACUUCGGGAGAAGGCACGCUGAUAUGUAGGUGAAGUCCCUCGCGGAUGGAGCUGAAAUCAGUCGAAGAUACCAGCUGGCUGCAACUGUUUAUUAAAAACACAGCACUGUGCAAACACGAAAGUGGACGUAUACGGUGUGACGCCUGCCCGGUGCCGGAAGGUUAAUUGAUGGGGUCAGCGCAAGCGAAGCUCUUGAUCGAAGCCCCGGUAAACGGCGGCCGUAACUAUAACGGUCCUAAGGUAGCGAAAUUCCUUGUCGGGUAAGUUCCGACCUGCACGAAUGGCGUAAUGAUGGCCAGGCUGUCUCCACCCGAGACUCAGUGAAAUUGAACUCGCUGUGAAGAUGCAGUGUACCCGCGGCAAGACGGAAAGACCCCGUGAACCUUUACUAUAGCUUGACACUGAACAUUGAGCCUUGAUGUGUAGGAUAGGUGGGAGGCUUUGAAGUGUGGACGCCAGUCUGCAUGGAGCCGACCUUGAAAUACCACCCUUUAAUGUUUGAUGUUCUAACGUUGACCCGUAAUCCGGGUUGCGGACAGUGUCUGGUGGGUAGUUUGACUGGGGCGGUCUCCUCCUAAAGAGUAACGGAGGAGCACGAAGGUUGGCUAAUCCUGGUCGGACAUCAGGAGGUUAGUGCAAUGGCAUAAGCCAGCUUGACUGCGAGCGUGACGGCGCGAGCAGGUGCGAAAGCAGGUCAUAGUGAUCCGGUGGUUCUGAAUGGAAGGGCCAUCGCUCAACGGAUAAAAGGUACUCCGGGGAUAACAGGCUGAUACCGCCCAAGAGUUCAUAUCGACGGCGGUGUUUGGCACCUCGAUGUCGGCUCAUCACAUCCUGGGGCUGAAGUAGGUCCCAAGGGUAUGGCUGUUCGCCAUUUAAAGUGGUACGCGAGCUGGGUUUAGAACGUCGUGAGACAGUUCGGUCCCUAUCUGCCGUGGGCGCUGGAGAACUGAGGGGGGCUGCUCCUAGUACGAGAGGACCGGAGUGGACGCAUCACUGGUGUUCGGGUUGUCAUGCCAAUGGCACUGCCCGGUAGCUAAAUGCGGAAGAGAUAAGUGCUGAAAGCAUCUAAGCACGAAACUUGCCCCGAGAUGAGUUCUCCCUGACUCCUUGAGAGUCCUGAAGGAACGUUGAAG